rnacentral:misc_RNA from 1 species
AAAAAGGGUUCAAAUUACUUGUUCAAGAUAAACACGUUAUCAGAAGAUUAAAAAUAAAGGAGAGGGAAACUUUAAAUUGGAUAGGCUUAUGGGAGAGAUUUAAUGGAAACUCUAUUAAAGUUACACUUCAAUGAAUCAUAACCCCUCCCAACGCUUUCUUUCAUCCUCAAAAGCACGCAUCUAGCAAACAGCAACAGCACAGAGCAGCCAAACAUCCUUCCAAACAGCCAACACUGCUGCUCUGUUGAGGAGGCGGCGGCUGACCGUACUGAGGGCCAUAACCUGGAGGGGGAGGACCAUAUCCCGG